GCCGAAGUGGCGGAAUUGGCAGACGCGCUGCGUUCAGGUCGCAGUGGGCUUUUUGCCCAUGUGAGUUCGAGUCUCACCUUCGGCACCA
rnacentral:tRNA from 1 species